GGAUAGAGGCUUUUGGGGCCACACCUUGCUCACAGAAACUUGAGUUGGAGCCAGCUGUGGUAAGCGCCAAUAAAAUCAGCAGCAGCUUUCACACUAAAUGUGUUGAGGCUGACUUUCCUUUCAGUACAAUGGAGGAUGAGAGUGCAAGCAGCCUCUGCUUAUGCUUCAGCCAGAAAGCAAGAUUCCUUCAUUGCACACAGUAAAGACUCUGUUGCUGUUAAUAAUCUGA